UUUUGGUUUGUUUGUACUUUCCUUAUUUCAUAGAUAUGAUUUUUUAAGGAUUUUCUUUCUUUCACUUUUAUAUUACAGAAGUCUCCCCAGUCUCCCUGGUUUCUCUUUCUGUGGUUUCAUUUUCCAUGGUUCCAGUUAUCCACUGCCAGCCAUGAUCAGAAAAUAGUAUCGAGGAUGGGAUAUCUAAAAACUCAAUUCCCUAGCUUGCCUCACAGAUGAAAGCUGUAUGACUCUGGCCAGUGAGAUGUAAAGAGAAGGCCGCUGAUGUCACAUGGUCUCUUUCCAGUGUGCUCUGGAAGUGCUGUUGCCAUCUCUGCGGCAGUGGAGUUGAAAGCCAGGUUCCUGAAGGUUUUUUGCUCUUGGGAAGUCAGCUGCCAUGUUAUGUGAGCAGCACUAUGGAGAGAGACCCACGUGGUGAGGAACUGGAGCCUCCUGCCAACAGUCACGUGGCUGAGCUUGGGAGCUGAUUCUGUGGUCCCUUCAGAUGAUUGCAACCUCGUGAGAGACCCUGAGCCAGAGCCACCCAGCAAGGCCCCUCCCAGAUUCCUGACCUUCAAUUAAACUUCUGAGAUAUUAUUUCGACCACUUUGCAUUUGGAGAAACUGAGGCAGAGAGCAGUUAAAGAUUCUGUCCAAGUCUAUACAAGAGGCGGGAGAGCUGGGAUUUGAGCAGGUGUGUUUCUUAUUGCUGUAACAACAUUGAGCAGUUAGGGAGCAGACGUGCCUCUCUGGGGGAACUCACAAGUGUCCACUGGCCUAGCAUUCGUACUGAACCACAGAAGUUGUGGUCUCUGUCCCAGGCUUCAGCCAAAGGCAAAUCUUCCCUGUGACUGGUCCUUUUGUUGUCACCUGAGGCCACAGAGAAUACACUGAACCUGUUCAGUUCUUAAAGAUAUCUGGAGAAUGCAGUCUCAGACUGAUUGUUUGAGAAUUGCCAGCAUGUUCCAGAGAUUCUUUAGAUGUAUUGUUGCAUGGAGUA